rnacentral:rRNA from 1 species
GAUGAACGCUGGCGGCGUGCCUAAUACAUGCAAGUCGAGCGAACAGACGAGGAGCUUGCUCCUCUGACGUUAGCGGCGGACGGGUGAGUAACACGUGGAUAAUCUACCUAUAAGACUGGGAUAACUUCGGGAAACCGGAGCUAAUACCGGAUAAUAUAUUGAACCGCAUGGUUCAAUAGUGAAAGACGGUUUUGCUGUCACUUAUAGGUGGAUCCGCGCCGCAUUAGCUAGUUGGUAAGGUAACGGCUUACCAAGGCGACGAUGCGUAGCCGACCUGAGAGGGUGAUCGGCCACACUGGAACUGAGACACGGUCCAGACUCCUACGGGAGGCAGCAGUAGGGAAUCUUCCGCAAUGGGCGAAGGCCUGACGGAGCAACGCCGCGUGAGUGAUGAAGGUCUUCGGAUCGUAAAACUCUGUUAUUAGGGAAGAACAAAUGUGUAAGUAACUAUGCACGUCUUGACGGUACCUAAUCAGAAAGCCACGGCUAACUACGUG